rnacentral:rRNA from 1 species
GACGAACCGUGCGAACGUUAUUCGGAAUCACUGGGCUUAAAGCGCGUGUAGGCGGGGCGGCACGUCGGUCGCUGAAAGCCCCCGGCUCAACCGGGGAAGCGGCGCCGAUACGACCGCCCUGGAGGGACGUAGGGGGCCUGGAACUUCCGGUGGAGCGGUGAAAUGCGUUGAGAUCGGAAGGAACGCCCGUGGCGAAAGCGAGGUCCUGGACGUCUGCUGACGCUGAGACGCGAAAGCCAGGGGAGCAAACGGG